UUUGUACUCCCUCCGUUCCAAAAUACUUGACUUCCAUUUGUUCAAAAAUGGAUGUACCUAUAUACUAAAACAUGUCUAGAUACAUAUAUAUUUUGACAAAUAGAAGGCAUGUAUUGUGCAACAGAGGGAGUAGAAU
rnacentral:pre_miRNA from 1 species